GAUGGGAACGCGAGCAGUUUUUGCACUGGGACAGCCAUAGGGAGUUGGGCUGCUUUUAAAAUCCCGGGUUCACUACCGGAGAUGUUUGAAUCUGCUCAGGAGCUUAAGACAGAAGGAUGCCAAAUCCAAGGAUAACCUGGGCAAAAGCUGCCUGCUGAUCCAGAUGUAAAUAUUUCUCCUCCAGCACCAUGUCUCCCUGAGUGCUGCCAAGCUUUCAGUAACGACAAUAGUCAAUGAUACCCCUGAAACUACAGAUCAAGAACCAAUUGGAGAACAACACUUUAGCAUCAGAACCACCCCCUCCAUCUAACAAUGUAUUUCAAAGUUGGAGAAAAGCAAGGAGAAUUCAAACCAAUAAUCAAAUAAUUAGUUAAUUCAAUCAGGUUAGAAUUCAUGAACUGGAGACUUGAAAACCAGUCUACAGAAUUAACCAAAUAGUUCAGUGGUUCUCAACUUUCCUAAUACUUCAAAAAUCGAUGGCCAUAUCCCUGAAUGAAAGCAUUUCUGGCAAUAAAGAUAAAUGAAUGACUGCU
rnacentral:lncRNA from 1 species